rnacentral:rRNA from 1 species
GACGAACCGAGCGAACGUUGUUCGGAAUCACUGGGCUUAAAGGGCGCGUAGGCGGGUGCUCAAGUCCGGGGUGAAAUCCUCCAGCUCAACUGGAGAACUGCCUCGGAUACUGGGUGCCUCGAGGGUGGCAGGGGUAUGCGGAACUAUCGGUGGAGCGGUGAAAUGCGUUGAUAUCGAUAGGAACUCCGGUGGCGAAGGCGGCAUACUGGUCCACUUCUGACGCUGAGGCGCGAAAGCCAGGGAGCAAGCGGG